GUGACUCUGGAGAAACUCGAUCAGCCGAGUGCCGAAGGUGCAAAGCGGGCGUGAAAAUGCCCGUCAAUCUCUCAGGCAAAAGGACAGAGGAAA
rnacentral:ncRNA from 1 species